rnacentral:rRNA from 1 species
CGCCUAACACAUGCAAGUCGAACGAAGUAGCAAUACUUAGUGGCAGACGGGUGAGUAACAUGUAGGUAUCUGCCCUUUGGCCUGGAAUAACACGAGGAAACUUGUGCUAAUACCGGAUAAGUCUUUACGGAGAAAGCUUUAUGCACCAUUGGAUGAGCCUGCACUUGAUUAGUUUGUUGGUGGGGUAAUGGCCUACCAAGACUUUGAUCAAUAGCUGAUUUGAGAGGAUGAUCAGCCACAUUGGGACUGAGACACGGCCCAAACUCCUACGGGAGGCAGCAGUGGGGAAUCUUGCACAAUGGAGGAAACUCUGAUGCAGCGAUGCCGCGUGAGUGAAGAAGGCCCUUGGGUUGUAAAGCUCUUUCGUCGGGGAAG